CCCUAAAAUCCAGCCCGGAAACGAGGAGCAGGCAUCAGGCACACCCGCCGUAGCCCAUAACGCCUUGCUAAGCCACACCCCCAAGGGAACGCAGCAGUAAUAAACCUUAGGCAAUAAGUGCAAACUUGACCUAGCUACGGUUAAAAGGGCCGGUAAAACUCGUGCCAGCCACCGCGGUCAUACAAGUGUUAGCCCAAGUGGACAAUUACGGCGUAAAGCGUGGUUAGGGCCCCCUCACAACUAAAGAAGAACCUCCUCAAGGCCGUUAUACGCACCCGACAGUAUGAAACCCCACCACGAAAGUGACUUUAACUCAACCUGAACCCACGAAAGCUGAGGAAACAAACCGGGAUUAGAUACCCCGCUAUGCCCAGCCGUAAACAUUAAUAGGUGCCCCACAACACCUAUUCGCCCGGGAACUAUAAGCAUCAGCUUCAAACCCAAAGGACUUGGCGGUGCUUUAGACCCACCUAGAGGAGCCUGUCCUAGAACCGAUAACCCCCGUUCAACCUCACCACUUCUAGCCCAACCCGCCUAUAUACCACCGUCGUCAGCUUACCCUGUGAAGGACUAAUAGUAAGCUUAACUGGCACAGCCCUAAACGUCAGGUCGAGGUGUAGCGCAUGAAGUGUGCAAGAGAUGGGCUACAUUUUCUGACCCAGAAAACUACGAAAGGAACAAUGAAAAAUCCCCCGAAGGAGGAUUUAGCAGUAAUCAGGGAAUAGAGCGCCCUGCUGAAACUGGCCCUUAAGCGCGUACACACCGCCCGUCGCUUUCCCCACCGUCCUAACUUACAACUAACGUAUAACACCAACUUUGUACAACAGGGGAGACAAGUCGUAACAUGGUAAGUGUACCGGAAGGUGCACUUGGACAACA
rnacentral:ncRNA from 1 species